GUCUACGGCCAUACACCCUGAACAACCCCCAUUUUGUCUGAUCUCGGAGGCUAAGCAGGGUGGGGCCUGGUUAGUACUUGGAUGGGAGACUACCUUGGAAGACCAAGUGCUGAGGCG
rnacentral:rRNA from 1 species